GGCAGCGGACUGUGUGUACCCUGAAUUGACUCUGUGAGUGAUGCCACUUCAUGAAGAGGAUUAGAAUAUUUAAUGUGGGGGUCCCUCAUGUAUCUCAUUCAGCCCAUAUCUUGGCUCCUAUAUCUUGGCGUCUAUAUCUAUGUACUUUUCUAUUAUUGGAGGCAGUUUGCUUUCCCCCUUGGAUUCAUCUGUGUCCAUAUAUGUAGGGAAUUUGUUUUAACACAUACCCCUUUUCUGUCAGCAUCAUCAAACUGUUCUUUUCCAUAGGCUGCUUUUCCUGUGGCUUUAUACAUGCUUAGGGCUUCCUUAAAUCAGCAGCAAACAACCUUGGAGGUUUUGCAGUAAAACAAACAGUUGAUCCCUCAAAGACCUAAAGAGCUCAUUCAUAGUCAUAAGAAAAACGUCAUUAGGUAAGUGAAUGAAGAAUGUAGAUACUCAUUUUAUAGGAAGAAUAGCAUAAACUAUUAACAAAUAUGCAAAAAUCUUUACUCUCGAUGAUAAUAAUUAUAACAGAAAAGUACUAUUUUUCUGACCACUAAGAAAAGGUUUAAGAAAUAUAGUAAUUAUUGCUAGCUAAUCUUACCCCUGGUAGUUUUACUAUUUUCCUUAUCUCUUUCCCUCCCUCCAGUCCCUCACAUAUUAUCCUGUUGUAUGGUACGUAAGCCCACUCAUAUUUUUGGUAGAAUAAGUUUGAACAUAUAUUUUAAAAGUGUUAACUGUGUCUGCACUUAGGUGGUGGAACAACGUAUGGUUUUUCCCUCUGCUUUGUUAUAUUCUCCAAUUUUUUUUAAAUGAGCAAGUAUUAAUUUUAGUUUGGAAAAAUAUCCAAACAAGUAAAAUAAUGCUCGUUGUCUAUCCUGCUGCUCUUCCCUUUAGGCUGCCAUCUGUCCUUCAGAUCUUUUCUCUCUCUUACCCAUUUUAACUCUUGCAGUCUGGCUUCCUGCUCUUCUUGCCAACUUAGUGGCCUUUUCUGAGACUCUGUUUUUCACUUUGUAACUUUUCUUCUGAUUAUUAAGAUUCCUUCGCACUUUGGAAAUUCUCAUUCAUUCCUUUUUGAGAGUCACCUUUGUAUCAGCUGCUCUGCCAGGCAUUGGGGAUUCCAUGGGCAAGGAUGUAGGAUCUCUGUUUUCGGGACCUUACCUCUGAUUAAUGUUUUAUCUGUUCUGCUGCUUUCCUCUAGAUGCUCUUUAAUUGUGCAUAUCCAAACACUUACUUCUCAGCCAUACAUUCUUUUUCUCUUUUUAUAUCUUUGCUAAAGUCACGAAAUAGAUAGGCUCACCAGAAAACUCUAACCACAUCUACUUAUUCAUUCGCCAGAGUACAGGUUGCCACCAUUGUCACGUUAAACUUGGCAUUUUCACACUAACCCUUCUUCUGUGCCUCAAUUUGCUUUCCUUUCCAAUUAUUCUAGUUCUUUUGGUAGUAGAUACCCGUGUUCCUUCAUUCUAUAAGGCUAGCAGUAUUGGCUUCAUAUUUGAUUUUCCUCUCUCAUCCCUUGCCCAAUAUUUUAACAUGUUGCCAAGUUCGCCUUGUCACUUAAGUUUCCCCCUAUCUUCCUAUUUCUACUGCCAGGACCAUAGCUAAGUGCUUUACUAUCUCAUUCCUGGAUUAUUACAGCAGCAAAAUGGCUGUUCUCUGCCCCUGGCCUUUACGCCUGUUCAGUGAUGCUGUAUACUGCUGCCAAAAUCAGUCUCUAAAACAUCCUUUUUUAUGUAUCUAAAGCCUACAGUAAUUUCUUCUUGCCCCCCGUACUGUGAUUGAAUAUUUGUCAGGUUUCAAAGGCCUUUGUAACCUAGUCCUGUGCAGUACAUCCAGCCCUACUUCUUGCUGUUCACAAGCAUUCAGCCCCACUUCAGUGCAGCAGGCACUUCACUGUCUGUCUUAUAUUUUGUGGUCCUGCUUUCACUCCUGCUUUGUAUGUUUUCUAGAAUCUCCACUCCCCUCUCUCCAAAUCCUGCUUAAUCACAUUUUAACUAUUUUGAAGUCAUAGCACAAGUUAUUGUACUAUAAAACAUUCUUUAGCUACCCUAGUCCAUAUUUGUUUUUUCUUGACCUCACGUUGUAUAUUGAGGUCUGUACAAUUAAGCACUUAAUCACUCUUAAUUUUUUUCCUGUGCUGUUUCAAUCAACAACAAUUCUUUGAAGCUAGGGGCAACAUCUUUUGCAUCAUUUUAUUUCUCAUGUAGCAGUAGGUACUACUGAACACCAUUUUUGUUUACUAUAUUCUUAGAGGUAUUUUUUCCUACAUAUUAAUGUUUCUGUAUUUUAUAUAUUUAAUGAGGUAAUUUCCUCCCCAAACAAGUUAUUAAACUCAUGCUGCAUUUUACAUAAUAGAGGCCUUAUAGCAGUUGUUUUUUUAAAAAUUAUAUUGGCGAAACUGAAGUAAUCAUGUGUUUCGAGUUUCAGUUUCACUAGUCAAAUGUCUUUCACUGUAUUUAGAUUAAAAAAUGUUGUAUAUCCCAAGUGAGAGCUGUUGUGUCCCUCAUUUAAAAAAUACUGAGCAGAUGACAACUACAUAGUUCUGUAACCUUUCAUGAAUGAGUAUACAGUAGUAGAGUUGACCCUUGAACAACGUGGGUUUGAACUGGGAGGGUCCACAUUUAUGUGGAAUUUUUUCAGUAGGUAUGUGCUAUGGUACUACACCAUCCGUGGUUGGUUGAAACCGCAGAUGCGGAACCAUAGAUACUUAGGGUGACUGUAAAAUUAUACUCAGAAUUUUGACUGCACAGGGGUGGGCAGCCUGUCCUCCGCAUUGUUCAGAGGUCAUUUGUAUUUAGUUAGGGUUUUCUGGACUGAUCAGCUGUGUCCCAGCUUAGUUCCCAAGUGAUAAACUUGGAAUUUUGGAGACUCUCUUAACAUUGAGCUGGAGAUAGCUUCUUUUAAGUUUGGUCCUGGUGGAAGGUUUGACCUACUUAUUUUGGGAGCCAAGAUCCAAGGCUAAGGUAACUUGUUGAGUCAUGACUGAAGUCUGAAGACAGCAAAGGAAACCUGUGAGUGAGGGCAAGUAACUGAGGGAGGUGGAUUUAUCUGGGAAGUAAGGAGGGAAUGACUAAAAUAUGAAAAUAAUUUUGAGGGCCUGAAGUAUUUCAGAUUCAUAAAACAGGCUAGUCUGCUGGGCCUGUUUAUCUGACAUGGAGCCUUUUAAUUUGGCCUGCUAGAUAUUCUUUCAGAGAAAUACAGCAACUAGUUUAUCUUUAAAAGACUUUUUAAGCUUUAAAAUUGUAUUUAUACGAUGCUACUUGGUUUUUUAGAACAGUGGUUGUCAAAUGGUAGUCAUACUAGCAUCACCUGGGAACUUGUUAGAGCUGUAAAUUUGGGGACUCUACCUCAGAUUUACUGUAACAGAAACUGGGGGUGUGACCAGCGGUCUUUGUUUUAGUAGCCUUUCAAGUGGUUCUGAUAGAUACUGAGGUUAGAGAACCACUGGCUUAAAGGAGAUAUCUUCUAAUAAAAUAUUAAGCCCAAGUCUUCUCUGUGGCAGAGCUUUAGUAUUCUCAAUUCUUGAGUACCCCAGGUAGAGUUAGUAACUCCUUUAUUUUAAUUUUCAUAGUACUUGAAUAUAAUUCUGCUAUAGCAUCAUUUACACUGUGCUGGUAAAAGAUUUCCACUAAGUUGAAAUCUUUAGUUUCAGUAAUUGUACAUUAAGUGAAUUGAUGAAUAAAAAUAAAACAGAUAGUGCAUAGUCAUCAUUGCACUCAUCCCUGGUCAACAGUUUAAAGACAGGCAGUCAGGCACACGAUACCAGUGACCACAUGUGCAAGAAAGUAUGGGAUGUAUAACCCAGGAGUCAGCAAAGUUUUUCUUCAAAGGGCCAGAUAGUAAAUAUUUUUGGCUUUGUAGGACAUAGAGUCUCUGUUGCAACUACUUUACUCUGCCAUUGUAUUAGGAAAUUAGCCAUCAGUAACAUACUAGUGAAUGGGGAUGGCCAAAUUUGUUCCACUGCUGGCAGGAUUUGGCCCUUGGGCAGUAUUUUGUGGACCCGUGUAUACCACUGCUACCUGGGAGAAGUAUGCAAAGAAUAGAGAUAACUGUUCUCAAUCUUCACUGUCUCACAUUGACAAAGAAUGGAUGCUAGUCACCUGCUUGAUAUUAAUUGUCUUGUAAUUCUCCCUUGGGUAAAACCAGGAUUAUAUGCAAAGCAUAUUAGAAUACAAAUGAGAGUUAUAUUUCAGCAGUAGUUGUAACUCAGCUCCCAGUGUUGAUAAUAAAGUAUACUGACUUGAUUUCUGGUCCAACAUAUAAAGAGCUUGAAAGUCUUCACUCCUGUUGUCAAAACAAGAAUAAAAGGAGGAGGAAAAUAACCAUUUUGAAAUACAGCCAGAGCUCUUUGUUCUCUUUAAGAAGGCCUGCCUCAAGGGAAACUUUUACCACAGCCUAACUAACUGGGGCUUUACCAAAGCCUAAUUGACCUGAGGGAAAGAAAAUACCCAACUCCAGUCCCCUCUAGUCUUCUAUGUGGGGGAAGGGAAAUACCCAACUCAGGCUCACUGAAAGACCUGAGACCAGGGGCUUCCCUGCUGGCACAGUGGUUGAGAGUCUGCCUGCCGAUGCAGGGGACACGGGUUCGUGCCCCGGUCUGGGAAGAUCCCACAUGCCGCGGAGCGGCUGGGCCCGUGAGCCGUGGCCGCUGAGCCUGCACGUCUGGAGCCCGUGCUCCGCAACGGGAGAGGCCACAGCAGUGAGAGGCCCGCGUACUGC
rnacentral:lncRNA from 1 species